GACGAACGCUGGCGGCGUGCUUAACACAUGAAAGUCGAACGGUGAACGAGGGAGCUUGCUCCCUCCGGAUCAGUGGCGAACGGGUGAGUAACACGUGAGCAAUCUGCCCCGAACUCUGGGAUAAGCGUUGGAAACGACGUCUAAUACCGGAUACGACGCGGGAGGGCAUCCUCUCCGCGUGUAAAGAACUUCGGUUCGGGAUGAGCUCGCGGCCUAUCAGCUUGUUGGUGAGGUCACGGCUCACCAAGGCGACGACGGGUAGCCGGCCUGAGAGGGUGACCGGCCACACUGGGACUGAGACACGGCCCAGACUCCUACGGGAGGCAGCAGUGGGGAAUAUUGCACAAUGGGCGCAAGCCUGAUGCAGCAACGCCGCGUGAGGGACGACGGCCUUCGGGUUGUAAACCUCUUUUAGCAGGGAAGAAGCGAAAGUGACGGUACCUGCAGAAAAAGCACCGGCUAGCUACGUG
rnacentral:rRNA from 1 species